UUUCAUGGUUUCAUAUGUCGAACUCUCGAAAGUGCUCUUCAUUUACUCCCGUUGAAGACGACGGUGAUAGGAUUUUGAUAAAAACUCAUAUCGAAUUCGAUUCAUGAUUAGGUUUAGAUCAUUUUACGCUCCUCCACCUUUCCCCAUUCUCUCAACCUCAAAGAAUCUCUGUAAGAAUAUCUAAAAACAAACAAAUCUGAUUUGAAGGAGGACCAAGAGGAAGCUCGUAUUUCUCAGAAUCUUUAUCAAGUUAUUAAAAAUCACGGCCCCUGAAUAUCUCCAAUAGUUGGUGCAUGUGCAGGGAAAAGCAAGCUAAUGAAUUUAGAUGAAUAUCCACAAUGGUCUCCCCAUAAGUUGUCAUCUGAUCCUAACCUUGAUGAAUCUGCUCAAGGUAUGCUUUCGGGGAAAAUUGGAUCACGACUAUUAUUUCUCACUGUUUGCAUCUCACCAUUACUGAUCAUCAUGUCCAGAUAAGUGUCCAUUGAAAGAAGGCUAUGCAUUGGUCAGUCUUGAUCAAGAUGUUUUCUCGUUAUGGAAUGAUCGAGUCGGAGAAUUUUUUAUGGCACACUCGUGGUCCAAAGAGAGGAGAGCCACGAGGUUUCACUUUCAUUCAGUUUACUACCAAAGAGGGUAUCAACCAUGUCGGAGAAGGUUACGUAUGCUAUUAUGAACCAUGAUUGACUGCUAAACCAACCUCUGCAAAUCCGGCUAUUAUCUAACUAGAGCUUGGCGUGGUUGAUAUUUUUUCGGUGUGUAUAGACUAGACUGGCAGUCUGGCUAUCAUUGAUAUUGGAUUUUCUGGAUUUUUGCAGAUGUGUACAUAAAUCUACACCAAUGUAAAUUAAAAAAUAAAAUUAUACAAUCAUAUGGGUACUCUUUUUGUACCUCUCAGAGAGAG